rnacentral:rRNA from 1 species
GAUGAACGCUGGCGGCGUGCCUAAUACAUGCAAGUCGAGCGGACGGACGAGAAGCUUGUUUCUCUGAUGUUAGCGGCGGACGGGUGAGUAACACGUGGAUAACCUACCUAUAAGACUGGGAUAACUUCGGGAAACCGGAGCUAAUACCGGAUGAUAUCUUGAACCGCAUGGUUCAAGAGUGAAAGACGGUCUUGCUGUCACUUAUAGAUGGAUCCGCGCUGCAUUAGCUAGUUGGUAAGGUAACGGCUUACCAAGGCAACGAUGCAUAGCCGACCUGAGAGGGUGAGCGGCCACACUGGAACUGAGACACGGUCCAGACUCCUACGGGAGGCAGCAGUAGGGAAUCUUCCGCAAUGGGCGAAAGCCUGACGGAGCAACGCCGCGUGAGUGAUGAAGGUCUUCGGAGCGUAAAACUCUGUUAUGAGGGAAGAACAUAUGUGUAAGUAACUGUGCACAUCUUGACGGUACCUAAUCAGAAAGCCACGGCUAACUACGUG